GACGAACGCUGGCGGCGUGCCUAACACAUGCAAGUCGAACGGAGAAGCGCGUUCCUUUCUGGUCGGUGUGUAUGAGUGGCCAACGGGUUAGCAACACGUUAGCAACCUUCUCCCUCUUUCUGGACAACGGCAAGAAAGAGCUGCUAAUACGGGAUAUUUUGGGCCUGUUGCAUGAUGGGUCUGGGACAGUUUUUGUUUCGCUUGGGGAUGGAUCCGCGGCCUAUUAGCUUGUUGGUGGGGUGAUGGCCUACCAAGGCGGUGAUGCGUAGCCGCCCUGAGAGGGUUGGCGGUCACAGUGGGACUGAGACGCGGCCGAGACUCCUGGGGGAGGCAGCAGGGGAGACUAUUGCACAGUGGGAGAGAGCGUGGUGCAACGACGCCGCGGGAGGGAAGGAGGCCUUCGGGUUGUAAACCUCUUUCGCGAGAGAAGCAGGCGUGCAUCGUUUGUGGGUGGGUUGACGGUAGCUGGAUAAGAAGCGCCGGCUAACUACGUG
rnacentral:rRNA from 1 species